UCUCUGAAUCCUUUAGAGAGGAGAGAGGACUUUGUCAGGGCACUAGGUCAGGUUCGAGAUGUGCAGGGCCAGGACAGUCUCUCUGCAGUGGUGUGUAGGUUUGGGAUAUGGACCCAGAUAGGAGCCUAGGCUUAUGUGGUUAGAGUAUAGGACCUAGGGUUAGGUGGGCCUGGAUUCAGAUCCCAGCCCUGCCUCUCACCAAAGUCCCUGAGGAAAAAGAUGAUGUCUCUUCUAUGCAACUACCAAGUACAUACCAGACAUUCUGGACAAGUCCUCCUAUCUCUGAAACUGGGCCAUGUGGAUCUGAAAUGAAGGGGGAAUAUUGCCAUCUCAUCCAAAGAUGGAAAAGCCUGGAAAAUUUGCCCGAGGCCGGGAGUGACUCCAGCCACCAAGCAUCUCCAUCUCCCAGUGUCCAAUUUUUUGCGCCCUCUGGGGAGAUGGGAACAUGCAGAUGGAAUUUGGGGCCUGUGUCCUCAGUGCCUUUUCUUCAGUGCUCCUAGGGGGAUGUCACGUCCCCUUGUUCAGUGAGCAGUGAGGACUGGUCUGUAGCCGGAUGAAGACAGUUUUAGGAGCUCCUGGUUUCCAUGGAUCCAGAGAAAUACAUAGGCUUGAGGCUAUGAGGAAGAGUUUCCUUUGAUUUCUACUUUGAUCAUGGUGUCAACUGUUAGGGUUUGCUGGGGCCUGGGAUGGGGAUGGGGUGGUGCUUCCCAAGAUGUGAGGCUUUCAGUACUAAAACCAGGAAAGUUCUGGCAAAUUAGAACAAAUUUGUCGCCUUCCCUUUAGUGUCCCUUGACUUUGGUAAGUCAGACCUUAAGAUGUAGCCAGAGCUUUGGUUGGAAUGGGAAGGUAGCUCCUUUCUACGCGGCUCCUGCAGGGCCUCCGCCUCUCUGGAAGGCAGGUUCCCCAUCUGCCCCCACCAUCAUGAGAGGGGAUGUGUGCUCAUGAGUCACCCCCACCCCCACCCUGAGCUUCCCAAGCAUGCAAUGCCUGCUCCUUUUGCUGAGGGCUGCCAGCUGUGGGGCACUGAUAGGCUCGUAGCCCACCCGAAGAGGUAGCAAAUCCACAUUUGUGUGCAAAGACAGUGUGACCCUGCUGAUGGGGGGGCAGAUUCUGAAGCAGGGUGUCAACAUAGCUGAAACUCUGAUGCUUUGAAGCAGUUUCGAGCUGGUGGCAGCUUUUGGAUUUGUCUCUUGGGGUGUGUGUGUGUGUGUGUGUGUGUAUUUGUCUCUUGGGAGGUGUGUGUGUGGGGGGAUAAAAACUCAGAACACUGUGGUGAGCCCUUUGGUUAUAAGGCUAGAUUCUGUUUCACCUUGAUUAAGCAUGUGAAUUCUGGAGCCAGAUUACUGGGGUUAAGGUUCCAGCAGCCUGUUCUAAUUUGACCUAAGGUAAGUAAUGAAACCUCUCUGAGCCUCAGUUUCCUAGUCUAUAAAAUGGGCACAUUGAUAGGGUGGCUGAGGACUAAAUUAAUGAAGGCACAGGGAGAACUUAGAAUAGGGCCUGCUGCAUCAUUAUUCCUCAAAAAAUAUUUUCUGUGUAACUGGACUGAAAGGGCUGAAUCAAACGUUCAACAGUUUUGUGUGCUGGCGUAUAGUGUGGUCUUGGUGGUCACUUGAGUUGUGUACCAGUGGUGAGCUCUGCACUGUAAUCCCUGCUGGUUGUCACCUCUGUCAACUGUUCUCACAGCAUCUCACUGCAUCCCCUGUUUUCUCCUGCUGCCUGGUCACUGCCUCCCAGGCUGCUGUGGACACACUGCACUUCCUACCUUGAGUCAAGACCUAAGUUAAGCUGUGGAGUUUGACAAAGUUUUACCAAAGGCCAGGGCUUACAGGGGAUCUGUGCAGAAAAGAUCACUGACCCUUGGUGUGUGGACAUGAAAAUUCCAGAAUUUCAAUGGCGAAGCCUCUCCACAGAGAUUGUUCUUCUGCCUACCAUGCUGCAAGACAGGCUCACCUCCUCCCAGAAAGGGGCUUCGACCAUACCCUCUAACCCCAAGUCUGGACCCCAACAACAUUCUUGAGGCCCCAGCAGGAAGCAACUUGCAUGCUUUCAUCCACUCACUGCAACAAGCGUCUGCAGAUAUACAACCUCUUUGGAUGCUUCUUUGGACAAUAUGUUGAAUUUUAGCUCCUGUAUUAUUUUUGAUAUAAUGCUACUUUUACUUAAAACAUCUUACCAAAUUAACCCUGAGCAAAUAAAUUUAAUAGUGGAUGUUUUUGAAAUCA
rnacentral:lncRNA from 1 species